UACAGGGGGUGCAAACGUUGCUCGGAAUCAUUGGGCGUAAAGCGCACGUAGGCGGUCUGUUAUGUCGGAUGUGAAAGCCCUCGGCUCAACUGAGGAAGUGCAUCCGAAACUGGCAGGCUAGAGUACGGUAGAGGGGGAUGGAAUUCCGCGUGUAGCAGUGAAAUGCGUAGAUAUGCGGAGGAACACCGAUGGCGAAGGCAAUCCCCUGGACCUGUACUGACGCUCAUGCACGAAAGCGUGGGGAGCAAACAGG
rnacentral:rRNA from 1 species